AGCGAGCGCUGGCGGCAGGCCUAACACAUGCAAGUCGUACGGAUCGCAAGAUGAGUGGCAGACGGGUGAGUAACGCGUGGGAACAUACCCUUUUCUACGGAAUAGCUCUGGGAAACUGGAAUUAAUACCGUAUACGCCCUACGGGGAAAGAUUUAUCGGGGAAGGAUUGGCCCGCGUUGGAUUAGCUAGUUGGUGGGGUAAAGGCCGACCAAGGCGACGAUCCAUAGCUGGUCUGAGAGGAUGAUCAGCCACAUUGGGACUGAGACACGGCCCAAACUCCUACGGGAGGCAGCAGUGGGGAAUAUUGGACAAUGGGCGAAAGCCUGAUCCAGCCAUGCCGCGUGAGUGAUGAAGGCCUUAGGGUUGUAAAGCUCUUUCACCAAUGAAGAUAAUGACGGUAGUCGGAGAAGAAGCCCCGGCUAACUUCGUGCCAGCAGCCGCCGUAAAAC
rnacentral:rRNA from 1 species